AUUGAACGCUGGCGGCAUGCCUUACACAUGCAAGUCGAACGGCAGCACGGGAGCAAUCCUGGUGGCGAGUGGCGAACGGGUGAGUAAUGUAUCGGAACGUACCUUUCAGUGGGGGAUAACGUAGCGAAAGUUACGCUAAUACCGCAUAUUCUGUGAGCAGGAAAGCAGGGGAUCGCAAGACCUUGCGCUGAUUGAGCGGCCGAUAUCAGAUUAGCUAGUUGGUGAGGUAAAGGCUCACCAAGGCGACGAUCUGUAGCGGGUCUGAGAGGAUGAUCCGCCACACUGGAACUGAGACACGGUCCAGACUCCUACGGGAGGCAGCAGUGGGGAAUUUUGGACAAUGGGCGCAAGCCUGAUCCAGCCACGCCGCGUGAGGGAAGAAGGCC
rnacentral:rRNA from 1 species